UUUAAGUGCAACCAUAAAGUUUUCGCGCCUAAUUUUAAUCGUCCGUCUUAUUUAAAAUUUUUUUAUAAUUAGUAUUUUUAUUGCUAUGAGAUGAUGAAACAUAAAUAAUACUUUACUUGUGACUUAUAUUUUUAAAUUUUUUUAAAAUUUUUUAAAUAAGACAAACGGUUAAAGUUGGGCGCGGAAAACCAUGGCGACGGAGAGA
rfam:Oryza glumipatula chromosome 3, whole genome shotgun sequence.